rnacentral:lncRNA from 1 species
GCUCUUGUACUCUUAUAAAUAUAGACCCCUUUAAACUCAAAGGUUUUGGCCGUUAGAUCUACUUCUUUGAUCAUUUAAACCUGUUAGAUCAUACUAUUCAACCAACUAUCCACUCAAUACUAAGGAACCACCAUGAUUCUAACUCUGGACUACUAUCAUUUUAACCCCACAUCUCUUCAUUCAACGACCGAAAAUUUAUGAGUACAAAGGUGCCUACACUCAUUAGAGUAUAGUAAUCCUACUCUUUUUCUCUCUCUCCCUCUCUCUCUU